AGGUGGCAACUUAAAGGACCAAUUAAAAUAUUUUACCAAGCUAUAUAUACCACCUCCAUAGGCAUAUGAAGCCUUCAAAGUCUGAUUUCCAGCAAGAAAGGGUUUAGAAGAUCUUCAUCUCCUCAAAAAGCUCCAUGAUCUUCUUUUGCUUGCCGUUUCUUCGUUUUUCAUCCGAUUCGCUUGAUUUUUGCGGCACCGGAAAGAGGAGAACGAUAUCUACUGAUCUAGCCCAUAAAAUCAAGUGUAAUUGUAAGCUUAUAUGGAUGAUUUGGAUGGUGAGUUUGAUGCUAAAUCUUCAACAAAGUAUCAUCAAUCAAGACUUGACGAGACGACUACCAAUGGAACCCGAAACUUACGGAACGCGAGAUCGCUAGGUAUUAUCGAAGAUUAUGGAUAGCAAGCGUGUGUUUUUCAGGUACCUAUUCUGAACUUGGCUAGAAGUCCGUCUUUGACCGGAAGUCCCUUUGGCUAUGUACAGUCCCGACUUCCAUAAUUGCUGCAGUAGUGUAAUGUCUGACCAGUGUCGUAGCCUAGUACAUUAAUACGUUUUUCAUUGUUUACAUUUGUUGUCAGUGUGUUUAUGUUUGUUUUGACUACGAUUGUCAUAUUUAUUCCACGGAGGUAAAUUCCCGUGAGGUGUAUGUAACACUAGUAUUAUAUGUCGGGUUAGUACGUACAAGGUACGGAAACGAUAGGCCCGAGCAAGAUGUAUUGUUUUACUAGUGUAUAUAAAUGCUUCCGUUUGUAAA